rnacentral:rRNA from 1 species
UGGGGAAUAUUGCACAAUGGAGGGAACUCUGAUGCAGCGACGCCGCGUGAACGAAGAAGGCUUUCGAGUCGUAAAGUUCUUUUAUAUGGGAAGAUAAUGACGGUACCAUAAGAAAAAGCCCCGGCUAACUACGUGCCAGCCGCCGCGGCAAUACGUAGGGGGCUAGCGCUGUCCGGAAUCACUGGGCGUAAAGGGUUCGGAGGCGGGAAGGGAAGUCAGGUGUAAAGGGCAGUAGCUUAACUACUGUAAGCAUUUGAAACUGCCUGUCUUGAGAAGAGUAGAGGUAAGUGGAAUUUCUCGUGGAGCGGUGAAAUGCGUAGAUAUUAAAAAGAACACCGGUGGCGAAGGCGACUGACUGAGCUCAUUCUGACGCUGAGGAACGAAAGCGUGGGUAGCAAACAGG